rnacentral:rRNA from 1 species
AGUGAACGCUGGCGGUAGUCAUAACACCUGCAAGUCGAACGAGUGGCGGACGGGUGAGGAAUACCUCGGAAUCUACUCUUUGGAGGGGGAUAACUUAGGGAAACUUACGCUAAUACCGCAUACGAUUGGAUGAGCCGCGGUGGGAUUAGCUAGUUGGCGGGGUAAAGGCGCACCAAGGCGACGAUCCGUAGCUGGUCUGAGAGGAUGAUCAGCCACACUGGAACUGAGACACGGUCCAGACUCCUACGGGAGGCAGCAGUGGGGAAUAUUGGACAAUGGGCGCAAGCCUGAUCCAGCCAUACCGCGUGUGUGAAGAAGGACUUCGGGUUGUAAAGCCCUUUUGUUGGGAAAGCGGUACCCAAAGAAUAAGCACCGGCUAACUUCGUGCCAGCCGCCGCGGUAAUAC